AAGAAGAGAAAAAAUGGGGAUGUGGCCCAUGAUAUUUGUUUGAUGUUCUUCUUUUUUUUUUUUUUUUGGGUUUUUGUGUUUUUUUUUU
rnacentral:ribozyme from 1 species